ensembl:lncRNA
AAUACUUUAUUCCAUUCACAGUAUAUUAAAUAAAUAAAAGUAAUGUAACAGUGUAUUUUUUGCACAAAUAGGAAUUGGUAUGUAUUAAUGUUAGGGAAAGGAAGAAGUUGAAUUAUUAUUAUUUUUCUGUGGUUAACAACGAUUAAUCGCAUUAUGUGCAAAAUGCAAUAUUGAGGCAGCGUGAGGAUCUAUUUCUCUUCAUACAGGCUUUAUGGCUUCUCCUUUUCUUUAUGAUCAGGAACCAGAAUAAACAUUAGUCUUUGAUGACGAGCAGCACGAUGCUUAAUGCAGAAUAUGUUCAGUAGUCAGAGUCUCUGUUAGAGGAGCUGAAGGUCUAGAACAAAAAAAAACUUCAGUCUGUAAAGACUGUGGAUUUCCUUUGAAUCUCAGUCAGAGAACACAAAAAUUAAACCGGUAUAUAAAUAUAAAUAUAAAUAUAUAUAUAUAUAUACACACACACACACAUCAUUCAACCACUCUCACACUGAUGAGCAGCUUCCUGCCGUCAGUAACUAAUAUUCACUCCAUUCUCACUCUGUGGUCACAGCUACAGGAGCAAUGCUGGGUUAUCGUUUGUUCUGCUGAUCACUGGUCUUGUUUGCAAAGCAGAGAUAAAAUAAAGGAACCAGUAGAGCUGCUGUCAGUCCCAGUGCACAGUAGAGGCCGAUCCUUCCCCGAGGAUCUCUUCUCAGUCUGGUGUCACUCGAUGUCUCAGGUUCGGGUGGAUCCUUCACUGCUGCAAAG